rnacentral:rRNA from 1 species
CAGUCGCCGCGGUAAUGCGGAGGGUGCAAGCGUUAAUCGGAAUUACUGGGCGUAAAGCGUGCGUAGGCGGUUCGUUAAGUCUGUUGUGAAAGCCCCGGGCUCAACCUGGGAAUGGCAAUGGAUACUGGCGAGCUAGAGUGUGUCAGAGGAUGGUGGAAUUCCCGGUGUAGCGGUGAAAUGCGUAGAGAUCGGGAGGAACAUCAGUGGCGAAGGCGGCCAUCUGGGACAACACUGACGCUGAGGCACGAAAGCGUGGGGAGCAAACAGGAUUAGAUACCCCCGUAGUCCCUGUCUCUUAUAC